AUCUAGCUGACGAGUCCCAAAUAAGACGAAAUGUACGUCAUGUAU
rnacentral:hammerhead_ribozyme from 1 species